rnacentral:rRNA from 1 species
AUUGAACGCUGGCGGCAUGCUUUACACAUGCAAGUCGAACGGUAACAGGCCGCAAGGUGCUGACGAGUGGCGAACGGGUGCGUAAUGCAUCGGAACGUGCCCAGUCGUGGGGGAUAACUACUCGAAAGAGUAGCUAAUACCGCAUACGAUCUAUGGAUGAAAGCGGGGGACCGUAAGGCCUCGCGCGAUUGGAGCGGCCGAUGUCAGAUUAGGUAGUUGGUGGGGUAAAGGCUCACCAAGCCAACGAUCUGUAGCUGGUCUGAGAGGACGACCAGCCACACUGGGACUGAGACACGGCCCAGACUCCUACGGGAGGCAGCAGUGGGGAAUUUUGGACAAUGGGCGCAAGCCUGAUCCAGCAAUGCCGCGGGCAGGAAGAAGGCCUUCGGGUUGUAAACUGCUUUUGUACGGAACGAAACGGCUCUGGUUAAUACCCGGGGCUAAUGACGGUACCGUAAGAAUAAGCACCGGCUAACUACGU